CAUUUUUUUAUCAUGAUCUGUAUGUUGAAUUAACGUCAUGGCUUCACCCAACAUUCAACAUGUUUGGUUACCAUGGUAUUGGAGGACUCCGCGCACGCGGCCACGCGCAGCGCUUUACUUCACGUAAUUACGAACACCUGACCUGCAGUGCAGCAGAAUUCAGAGACAUGUAACUUACUCCAGAGACGCACUAACUUGCACAGCAUUGAAUGGAAAAGGCUUUGUCCAUGUCCAGUUGAGGGCAUCAAGAACACGCAGAUGGCCUAAACCUGUGUCAGCCUGGACAGACUGCCGUUCUGCUACUCCACACCAAGGCUUUUGUAUAGAUGUCUUGACUGCUACUGUGUUCUCUAAAGGUUUUCUGGAAGCUCCAUUUGAGGGCAUCAAGGACAUACUGAUGGCCUAAACCAGUGUCAGCCUAGACAGACAGACAUCUAUUGCAGUUCUGCUACACAAGACCAAACUCUCUGCUUUUGUAUGGAUGUCUGACUAGUACGGUGUUCUCUAAAGGUGUAACUGGAGCAAAACAACAGCACCCGUUACAGUGAAAUUUGUGUUCAUAAAAGAUAGUGAUAUAUCAGGUGUAGUAACAGGUCCAGUACAUUUGUCAUAAAGGUUAAAUCACAGUAAGUACUGUAAAAAUAACUUGUUUGCCUUUGCCACAACAGGUCAUGGUGUGUACUUACUGCUCGUAAUAAACACACACGCUGAUCUGAUGCGGGAGAGAUAUAUGCAAACACAUUAGUAUUUACUGUUUUGUUUUGCCUCACUAAAGUGUUGUUGGAGCUUGGUAUGUUCACAGUUGAAAUUACUGAAGUCACAUGGAACGUUUUGACAAUGUGUUUUGUGCCUUAUUAUGACAAUGACCAUCUUGGGACCAUUGCUGUCUGUAGAGGAUGAGGCAUUUAAUCUAAAAUAUUUUAGUUUGUGUUCUGAAGAUUAACAAGUCUCU